rnacentral:rRNA from 1 species
CAGCAAAACCGUAGAGGUGGAGCAAAUCUCCAAAAAACGUACUCAGUUCGGAUUGUAGGCUGCAACCCGCCUACAUGAAGUCGGAAUUGCUAGUAAUCGUGGAUCAGCAUGCCACGGUGAAUACGUUCCCGGGCCUUGUACACACCGCCCGUCAAACCAUGAGAGUUGGCAACACCCGAAGUCGGUAGUCUAACCGCAAGGAGGACGCCGCCGAAGGUGGGGUUGAUGAUUAGGGUUAAGUCGUAACAAGGUAAC